rnacentral:misc_RNA from 1 species
UAACAGUUAUGGACUUGGACCUAUUGGUCAAGUUGGUGGUGGAUCUCAGAAGAAUGCUGGGAUCAAUGGUGGGUUUAACAAGGGGAUUUAUUCAAAGAAUAAUUAUAACAAUAACCUCAAUGUUCAUGUGAAGGGCAAUAAGAACAAGGGAGAGGACGAUUAUGGAGGCAAAGUUGGGAAGAAGAAUAGUAACAAGAAGAACAAUGGUGAUAGUAACAACAAUAAUGAUAGCAAGGAUAAGCAAAGUGCUGUUGACAAGAGGUUUAAGACACUGCCACCAUCAGAAUCACUGCCUAGGAAUGAAACUGUUGGUGGCUAUAUCUUUGUUUGUAACAACGAUACUAUGCAAGAGAAUCUCAAGAGGCAGCUCUUUGGUAUGUCUAUCGAUUUCUAACUCUGUUAUUCUUUUUUUACUUUCCCUGUCUAAUAGUAUUGUUCAUGUUCUUCUUGGGUUCAUUGCAUAAAAGUUCUGGGAUUUUUAGGAUAAUUUUCUAAACCAAGGUUUCUUUUGAUUUUAAUCUGUGUGUGUUAUUACCCAUUUCUAAACUGUUUCUUGAAUUAUAAUUUAUAGGUUUGCCUCCACGUUACCGAGAUUCAGUGAGGGCGAUCACUCCAGGCCUUCCCCUUUUCCUCUACAACUACUCCACCCACCAACUCCAUGGAAUCUUUAUGGUUUGUGCUUCUUUCUUUUCAGGGCAUUGAUAAUAUAUAACAAUUCAUGGGACUGUCCAGUUACUUAGCAUUGUUAUCCUAAAUGAAUAUUAACUAGUAGUUAAUUCUGAUAAAUCAACUGAUGAUAUGUCAUAAUGGUCUGUAUAGGCUGCAAGUUUUGGAGGAACAAACAUUGAUCCAUUAGCCUGGGAGGACAAGAAAUGCCCUGGAGAAUCACGCUUUCCAGCUCAGGUAUAUAUCUAGGAAAUUGUCUAUCAGUUACAGGGAUUGUUAAUUGAAUCAUUUUGUAUUAAAUACUAGUUCUAUUUGUAUGCAGGUGAGAGUUGUUACAAGGAAAAUUUGCGAGCCACUGGAAGAGGACUCCUUCAGGCCAAUUCUCCACCACUAUGAUGGCCCCAAGUUUAGGCUUGAACUCAACAUUCCAGAGGCACUGUCUCUCCUGGACAUAUUCGAAGAACAAAACCCUUGAACAGCUUACCAUAUACGGGCACACUGAUACACAUACAAGGAAAGGAGAAGAUUAAGCACAUACAAGGAAUGGAGAAGAUUAAGAGUUGAUUAAAGGAUACGAGAUAAAAGGAGUUGUUUAGCUUUACUAUACUGGGAGGAUUUGAAAGAGAGGGUUUAGGGAAGGAACUAAUGGGGGAAUGGGAAGGAGGCUGAGCAUACACGCUGUAGUGUGAUGUAUAAUUUUUCAUAUGAAGGCUGUUAUGGUCCUCUCUAUUCCCUGAUUUGGCAUAUAAAUAAGUGAAAAAUGCUAAAAUGAACUAAUAUUUAUUAUGUUUUAUAGCAGUUUGUGUGCAGAAAGUAUUGUUUCUCCAUUUGAAUAUGAGCCUAUUAAUAUUUAGGCACUGAUUUAUGUUCUUCUUCAUCCAAAUAGUAGUUGGAUAGAUAGAUACAAUGGUUGGUAUACUUGGCUGCCUUCAUUGCCCUGUCUGGAAAUGGUCUUCAAUUAGAUAGACCUGAUUUGGGAUGAGGAUUGAGACUGCUUGGAACCAGUCAUGGCAGUAUCGUGGGAGAGAGAAAUUCUAGAGGAAAAUUCAAGAAAAAGUCCACUCUAGAAUUCAAUUGUUGGAGGGAAAUGCCCUGUUUCAUGUGACUGAAGCAAAUGAAACUCAAGACUUAGUAUAAUCUAAUCUUAAGACCCAGAAAUAAGUGAAAGUCGUGACUUUUUGUUGUUAAAGACAAUGCCUGCGCUGGCAAAAUUAGUGGGCAAUUGAAAAUUGGUUCACCCACUGGGAGCUUAAUCCACCAUUCAAAGCAAAGCAAAGGUUUCAAUGGGUGGUUAGGCCACCCAACCCAUUAAACUGAUGUCAUGUUUGUCAACUCUGCGCAUCCAACUCCAAAUUAUAAAAAGUGCUAGCAUCUAGGGAUUGCUUCUUGCCUUCUUCGUUGAUGGCAAUAAUUGAACAAGUCAAUGAAGGAAAAAAUUGGAAAGGCUAGGCCGGGGAUUGUAAAGCAAAAGCAAAGCAAUUGGAGAAUUUUUUAUGGAAAAUGAUUCAAUGAAUCCAUGUAUGUAUUGAUUAUAUUGAAUCAUAUGUG